AGCCCAGCACGGAAUCCCGUGCGGCGACGCACAGGGAGAUGUCGUGUGUGGGAGGUUCCACUUUGCCGGGAGUCAGCAGCGAGUCCAAGUCUCCCUUGAACGGGGCCACAGCCCGCAGAGGGUGCCAGGCCCGUAGAGACCGCGGCUGCUCUCGGGAGGAACUCUCCUCAGAGUCGUGUUCCUUGAGAGUGGAGCACCAAGUGGGUGGUAAACUCCAUCUAAGGCUAAAUAUGACCACGAGACCGAUAGCGAACAAGUACCGUGAGGGAAAGUUGAAAAGAACUUUGAAGAGAGAGUUCAACAGUACGUGAAACCGUUCAGGGGUAAACGGGAGAGAUCCGAAAGGUCGAAAGGGGGAGACUCAAUCCCGUCCGCGAGUCUGUUGCCGUUCUCGGUCCCACGGAUGCUGCUGGCCGCCGGUCGCGUCGCAAGGCGCGAACCGGGUCGGAGUCGGUGGCACCGGGGCUGGAGGCCCAGCUGCGGCGAGGUGCACUUCUCCCCCGAGUAUGACGUCGCGACCCGUUGGGCACGUCCGGCCUAAGGCCCGGGAUGAGACCGAGGAGGCUGCCGCGCAAUCGCGCGGGUCAACGGUCUCCCGGACCCUGGAUGUCCUGGCCGGCGCCCGACGGCAUGCUUCGAGGAGAAGGCCCGCUCCCUCGCAGAGCGAGCGUCCGGCCUGGCGGACAAGCUCGACGGUUGGCACGCGGUGCCGUGGCUUCCGCCACGUCCCCGGCCCCCGUUGGCUGUUGGUCCCCGGAGUCCUCGGACAGUGGCCGUCUCCCGUCUGCGGCGCUUCUGCUUCGGAUGCUUUCCCGACCCGUCUUGAAACACGGACCAAGGAGUCUAACAUGUGCGCGAGUCGCUGGGAGCACUCGCUAAACCCGGAGGCGCAGUGAAAGCGGGGAGCAGCCCUUCGUGGGCCGCCGUUGGGAGGAUGUCGAGCGGAAUUCCCGCACGACCGCACUCCCGGGGCGCUUCGGCCUUGGCCGCAUGCGCACCCCGAGCGCACACGUUGGGACCCGAAAGAUGGUGAACUAUGCCUGGUCAGGACGAAGUCAGGGGAAAC
rnacentral:rRNA from 1 species